UAACAGUUCUUUUGAUUCGAUACGAGCGAGGGAAAAAAUUUAUAAUUCGAGGCGACUUGCGCGGUACGCUCGUACGUAAUUAUUUCUCGCAAAAGAUAUUCGAGGGUUUUCGAUCGUAACACGACAAUAAAAAAAUACGGGAUUUAUUCCAAUUAAGUAGUGAAUUAAAAUUACGUAAUCGUAAAGUGUGCGAGACACUGUUUUUUUUAAAUAUUAAUUUCGCUCAGAAAAAUAAUAUUUUCUCACACGAUGUUUGUUUAUUUCAAAGUGUAAGCUUGCAAAUCGAUUUAUUCCGAAGAUGUCGUUGAAGAUCUAAUGGAAUAUUAUGCAAGUGCAUCGAACAAAAAAGCAAGGGCUCGUAGGGCCAUUGAACCCAACGGGCUUUGUUCUCGUUGCAACAUCAAUGGUUUUCGAGAUUGAAUGCAACGUUUAAAACGCUAGCGAGAUGAAAACUUUCAAACGGUUCACGAAGUCAAAUCACAUCAAUUUUUUAGAGUACUAUAUUAUUUAUAAUUUUCAGAGAUAUUGUGAAACUACCGCCAAUUCGAAAUGUAAAUUUUGCUAAAAAUAAAUCUAAGAAACUAGACAAUUAAAAAAUAUUUAGUUUUAAUGUUUGUCAAUAGAAAUUUGAAUACAUAAUCGCUUAACUGAAUGUUGACACUGUUCACACUUCCUUAUUUGAAAAAGUCUUGCUGGUAAAUACAACUCUGUCAUUGCUCUUUAGUGCUAAUUCUCGGCACGUUUUGUCAGCCUAAAAAGUGAAUACUCAGAAAAAGCCAGUUUAAAAAAACAGUCAUUAUAAUUAUUUCUUUGUUAUUAGGUUGAAACGUAAAAGUAAAAUGUUAAAACGAGUUUUUUUUUUUGAAAUCUAACCAACAAAAUUAUAUAAUUACUGAUUA